rnacentral:rRNA from 1 species
CUGUGCACAUCUUGACGGUACCUAAUCAGAAAGCCACGGCUAACUACGUGCCAGCAGCCGCGGUAAUACGUAGGUGGCAAGCGUUAUCCGGAAUUAUUGGGCGUAAAGCGCGCGUAGGCGGUUUUUUUAAGUCUGAUGUGAAAGCCCACGGCUCAACCGUGGAGGGUCAUUGGAAACUGGAAAACUUGAGUGCAGAAGAGGAAAGUGGAAUUCCAUGUGUAGCGGUGAAAUGCGCAGAGAUAUGGAGGA